rnacentral:rRNA from 1 species
AACAUCGCCUCUUGAUAAACUAUAAGAGGUCCAGCCUGCCCAGUGACAAAAUUUAACGGCCGCGGUACCCUAACCGUGCGAAGGUAGCAUAAUCACUUGUUCUUUAAAUAAGGACUAGUAUCAAUGGCAUCACGAGGGUUACACUGUCUCCUCUCCCUAAUCAGUGAACCUGAUCUCCCCGUGAAGAAGCGGGAAUCACUCUAUAAGACGAGAAGACCCCAUGGAGCUUUAAACUUAAAGCAACCCAAUAACAUAAACCCCCAAAUCAAUAAAGUUAUGCAUGUUAGUUUUAGGUUGGGGUGACCGAGGAGUAAAAAUUAACCUCCAUGACGAAAAGAACUAAAUCUUUACCCAAGAAAUACAUUUCUAAGGAUUAGAAUACUAACGAAUAUGACCCGAUAAUCGAUCAACGAACCAAGUUACCCUGGGGAUAACAGCGCAAUCUACUUCGAGAGCUCAUAUCGACAAGUAGGCUUACGACCUCGAUGUUGGAUCAGGGUAUCCCAGUGGUGCAGUCGCUACUAAAGGUUCGUUUGUUCAACGAUUAAAACCCUACGUGAU